rnacentral:rRNA from 1 species
UACGUAGGGAGCAAGCGUUGUCCGGAAUCAUUGGGCGUAAAGCGCGCGUAGGCGGCCCUGUAAGUCCGUUGUGAAAGUCAAAGGCUCAACCUUUGAAAGCCGAUGGAUACUGCAGGGCUGGAGUCCGGAAGAGGCGAGUGGAAUUCCUGGUGUAGCGGUGGAAUGCGCAGAUAUCAGGAGGAACACCAAUUGCGAAGGCAGCUCGCUGGAACGUUACUGACGCUGAGACGCGAAAGCGUGGGGAGCAAACAGG